AUUGAACGCUGGCGGCAGGCCUAACACAUGCAAGUCGAACGGUAACAGGAAGAAGCUUGCUUCUUUGCUGACGAGUGGCGGACGGGUGAGUAAUGUCUGGGAAACUGCCUGAUGGAGGGGGAUAACUACUGGAAACGGUAGCUACUACCGCAUAACGUCGCAAGACCAAAGAGGGGGACCUUCGUGCCUCUUGCCAUCGGGUGUGCCCAGAUGGGAUUAGCUAGUAGGUGGGGUAACGGCUCACCUAGGCGACGAUCCCUAGCUGGUCUGAGAGGAUGACCAGCCACACUGGAACUGAGCCACGGUCCAGACUCCUACGGGAGGCAGCAGUGGGGAAUAUUGCACAAUGGGCGCAAGCCUGAUGCAGCCAUGCCGCGUGUAUGAAGAAGGCCUUCGGGUUGUAAAGUACUUUCAGCGGGGAGGAAGGGAGUAAAGUUAAUACCUUGGCUCAUUGACGUUACCCGCAGAAGAAGCACCGGCUAACUCCGUG
rnacentral:rRNA from 1 species